CCUACGGGUGGCAGCAGUGAGGAAUAUUGGUCAAUGGCCGGAAGUCUGAACCAGCCAUGCCGCGUGAAGGUCAGUGCCCUAUGGGCGUUAAACUUCUUUUGUGCGGGAGCAAUAAUGGUCACGUUUGGCCAUCCUAGAGUACGGUACGAAUCAGGCUCGGCUAACUCCGUGCCAGCAGCCGCGGUAAUACGGAGGAUCCGAGCGUUAUCCGGAUUCAUUGGGUUUAAAGGGUGCGUAGGUUGUUUUAUAAGUUAGCGGUGAAAUACCGAUGCUCAACAUCGGGGCUGCCGCUGAUACUGUAGGACUAGAGAGCGGAUGCAGCAGGCGGAAUGUGUAGUGUAGCGGUGAAAUGCAUAGAUAUUACACAGAACACCGAUUGCGAAGGCAGCUUGCUAGGCCGGAUCUGACACUGAUGCACGAAAGCGUGGGGAUCGAACAGGAUUAGAUACCCUUGUAGUC
rnacentral:rRNA from 1 species